UUUUCCCUGCGCUGUGCGCCAAGACCAUAAAUUCCUUGAACCGAUGUUUAUGGCACCUGGUUGUAGCGAUACCGAGUUGCGGUGUGAUCGUCUCUCUGUCAGAUGAACCUAAUGCAACUUUAGCGACGACCCCCUAUCUUGCGUAGAUGGGUUCAGGAUGCCGGUCUGGCGGCAGACUGCGGGGAAAUU
rnacentral:other from 1 species